rnacentral:lncRNA from 1 species
AGGACAUAGAGCGGAGAUGCAGAAACCCAGGACAUGGACUCGUGGCUUGUUCUCGACUGUGCAGUGCGAAUGGGGUCAGGCACCAGGCAAAGAUUCCCCGGGGCCUCUCGAGAAGAAAUCUCACCAAACUCCUAGAAAAUCUAAGUUGCAAAUGCUGGCAAUUGAAUCCAGGCCCUGCAAACUGGGCUGCAUCCCCGGACCUCCUUUCUGCUGUUCUUUUGUUUUUUGGUACUAAGGAUUGAACUUGGGACCUUGUGCUUCCAAAGAAAGUGGCGGAACCACUGAGCUAAAUCCCUGGCCCUUUUUUUUUUUUUUUUUUUUUUUUUUUUUUUUUUUUUUUUUUUUUUUUUUUUUUUUUUUUUUUGGUAAUGGGGAUCAUCAAACUGUGUUUGCGAAGCAGGUGGUAGACCCAGAUCUUUUAAUGCUUAGCAUUGAGACAGGGUCUUGCUAAGUUUCUGA